rnacentral:rRNA from 1 species
CGGCGGACUGGUGAGUAACGCGUGGGUGACCUGCCUUGAGGCUGGGGAUAGCCGCUAGAAAUAGCGGGUAAUACCGAAUACGUUCGCCGGACUGUGGUCUGGCGAGGAAAGGGGCUCCGGCCCCGCCUUGAGAUGGGCCCGCGUCCUAUUAGGCAGUUGGCGGGGUAAGAGCCCACCAAACCGAAGAUAGGUAGCCGGCCUGAGAGGGUGAACGGCCACAUUGGGACUGAGAUACGGCCCAA